CGAAAUUCAAACAUGCAUAAAUAUUUUUCGCACUCCAUGGAGAAGGAUAAAAAUAGGAACAAAUUACAAACUUUUGAAAAUAGAAAUAAAAAACCUAGCUUCGAUUUAUCCGUUUUGUGUAUUUAAAAUCAACUUACAUUUCCCUCCCCAUUCAGAUAAUUCCGGAUCACCCCCAAAAUUUUUCACCAAAAAAUUCAAUACCUAUUCCUCAAAGAUGAUAAAACUGCAUUUUGUUUCAUUCAUUUCUAUACAGUUUUUGUUUUUAUAAUUUCUCGUUUAAUUAUUCCUAAAUGAGUACCAGAGAGCUUCUCAGCAUUGAACCUGUAGAACUCAAAUUCGCUUUUGAGCUGAAGAAGCAGAUCUCAUGUUCUCUCCAGGUAUCGAAUAAGACCGAAAAUCAUGUAGCUUUCAAGAUGAAGACAACGAAUCCUAAGAAAUAUUGCGUACGACCCAACUCUGGGAUUGUUUUGCCUCGAUCAACAUGUGAUAUCAUCGUAACGAUGCAAGCACAGAAGGAGGCUCCUUCUGACUUGCAAUGCAAGGACAAGUUUUUGCUUCAGAGUGUAGUUGCAAGUCCUGGUACAACACUGAAAGACAUUACUCCAGAAAUGUUUACUAAGGAGGAAGGGCGUGUUGUUGAAGAGUGCAAGUUGAGAGUGCUUUAUGUUUCCCCACCUCGACCACCAUCUCCAGUGGCAGAGGGAUCAGAUGAGGGUUCUUCACCAAAGACGACUGCUAUGGAGAAUGGCAAUCUUAAUGGCAGUGAGGUUACUGGAAUGUUUGUUGAUAGUCAUGAAAAUUCACCAGAGGAUCCACAACUUAUGUACACUAUCAAGUAUCAAACAUGCACCAGAUGGAGAAAGUGGGGUAAAGAAUUAAGCUGUGAUAGCAUGGGACUAGACUCCCAGCAGAAAGAUAAAAUCCUGUCUUUGCUUCCAGUAUCUGGUUAAUCGGUGCCACACCUGCAUUCGUCUCCCAUUUCUUCCAUAUCCACUCCCUUUCUUGAGUACUUCACUGACGCAGUUGCACUUGCGUCAUUCACUUGUCUUUAAAUUUUCAUCAGUUCAGUGUUUGUAUUUGUUCUUACAAUUUCACCGGGCCUGGAUUUUUAUCAGUUUGCAUUUGUUUGCUAGCUGCCUAUGUGAAUUUGUAUUCUAACUCUCAGGUACACUCACUUAUUUCCAAAUUAACUGAAGAAAAAGCCGCUGCAAUUCAACAGGGUAGCAAACUUCGUCAAGAAUUGUUACUCUUGAGGCAUGAUGGCA